UACGGCUCAGUAACACGUGGAAACAAAACUGCCCCCACCGCUAUAAACCCGGGAAACUGGGUAUACCUCUCACACAGAUAGCCCUCGGCUGCUGGAAUGCACCGAGGACGAAAGCUCCGGCGCCUUAGGAUGGGUCUGCGGCCUAUCAGGUUGUAGUGGGUGUAACGUACCUACUAGCCUACGACGGGUACGGGUUGUGAGAGCAAGAGCCCGGAGAUGGAUUCUGAGACACGAAUCCAGGCCCUACGGGGUGCAGCAGGCGCGAAAACUUUACAAUGCUGGAAACAGCGAUAAGGGGACCUCGAGUGCCAGGUUACAAAUCUGGCUGUCGUGAUGCCUAAAAAGCAUUACAUAGCAAGGGCCGGGCAAGACCGGUGCCAGCCGCCGCGGUAACACCGGGGGCUCGAGUGGUAACCGUUAUUAUUGGGUCUAAAGGGUCUGUAGCUGGCCGGAUAAGUCUCUUGGCAAAUCCAGCCGCUUAACUGUUGGGCUUUCACGAUAUACUAUUCUGCUCGACU
rnacentral:rRNA from 1 species